UAACAAGUGCAGCAGGCAAUAAUACUACAACAGCAAUAGGUGACAUGUAGAGCAGGAGAUUCAUGGAGUUCAGUUUUUCCCUGAAAAAUAACAUCAAGUUCACAAUUGAAUAACAAAUGAGGAAACUCAAAAAGGCGAAAAAAUGGCUAGAAGAAGCAAAGUAGUUACCCUUCAGAAGAAAGCAGAACUCCUUGAAGAACAGACUUGAAGGCUCUAGCAGCAGUUGCACCAAUACACAUGAUAAAUCCAUAAAGGUGGAAGCUUGGUUCACCCUAUCAUCAAUCAAAUAACUUACUAGUCAAUUAUAGUUGAAUUCUAAGUUGCUCGGACUCUUAAAAAAUGUCUACGGGUGCGUGUCGGAUCCUCCAAAAAUAGUGCAUUUUUGAAGGAUCCGACACGAGUGCGGCAACAUUUUUGGAGGUUGAUAGUACAAUUUUUCAAAAAGAAAACACAGCCUAUUUUUACAACCAAUAGAUGGAGACUUGUCUUAGCUUAAUAAACUUCAAACAUAACACAAAAAAAAAGACCAUGUAAGUAAACAUGUUUAACUAAUACCAUGUGACAUUAACAAUCUCUGAAUUGCUCAGAGUAUAUGUCAUCAAAACACACUGAAAGAAAGGUGAUUUGUUCUUAUUUGUCUAAGUUUUGGUGGACAGAGUUAGCCAAUAUCUAUGUUGAUGGAGAUAGCACGGUGCCUCGUGGAAUCAAUCAAGGUGUGCACAAACUAGUCGAAACGACGCAUAAAGUCAACUUCUUCCGGUAUAGGUGGAAGGUUACUUAAAAAAUUCGAAAUGGAAUGGAUAAUGGGCUUGGUAAAAACUUAUGAAAUGUUAGAAUCCAUUAAAUUUAAAUUCUAGAUCUGCAUUUGGUAUCGAAGCGUUAUAAUGUAUAUCAAAUAUGAGCAUCCAUAAAUUCUCAUAUAUAAUCUCAAGUAGUUCAUCUA